rnacentral:rRNA from 1 species
GACGAACGCUGGCGGCGCGCCUAACACAUGCAAGUCGAACGAGAGAUGAGGAGCUUGCUCUUCAAAUCGAGUGGCGAACGGGUGAGUAACGCGUGAGGAACCUGCCUCAAAGAGGGGGACAACAGUUGGAGACGAUUGCCAAUACCGCAUAAGCCCACGGCUCGGCAUCGAGCAGAGGGGAAAGGAGCAAUCCGCUUUGAGAUGGCCUCGCGUCCGAUUAGCUAGUUGGUGAGAUAACGGCCCACCAAGGCGACGAUCGGUAGCCGGACUGAGAGGUUGAACGGCCACAUUGGGACUGAGACACGGCCCAGACUCCUACGGGAGGCAGCAGUGGGGAAUAUUGCACAAUGGGGGAAACCCUGAUGCAGCGACGCCGCGUGGAGGAAGAAGGUCUUCGGAUUGUAAACUCCUGU